rnacentral:rRNA from 1 species
CCUACGGGAGGCAGCAGUGGGGAAUACUGGACAAUGGGCGCAAGCCUGAUCCAGCAAUGCCGCGUGAGUGAGGAAGGCCUUAGGGUUGUAAAGCUCUUUCGGCGGGGACGAUGAUGACGGUACCCGCAGAAGAAGCCCCGGCUAACUUCGUGCCAGCAGCCGCGGUAAU